CGCUGGCGGCAUGCCUAAUACAUGCAAAUCGAACGAUCUUCUUUGAAGAGAGUGGUGAACGGGUGAGUAAUAUAUGUCUAACCUACCCCAACGUGGGGGAUAACUACCUGAAAAGGUAGCUAAUACCGCAUAGGAUAUAGGAUGGUAUCUUCUUAUAUUUAAAGGUGCGUUUGCACCGCGAUGGGAUGGGGACAUACGACAUUAGCUAGUUGGUGAGGUAAGAGCUCACCAAGGCGACGAUGUCUAGCCGGGUUGAGAGACCGACCGGCCACAAGGGGACUGAGACACGGCCCCUACUCCUACGGGAGGCUGCAGUAGGGAAUUUUCCACAAUGGGCGAAAGCCUGAUGGAGCAAUGCCGCGUGAGGGAUGACACAUUUCGGUGCGUAAACCUCUGUUGUUAGGGAAGAACAACUAAGAUAGGAAAUGAUCUUAGCUUGACGGUACCUUUCCAGAAAGUCACGGCAAACUAUGUGCCAGCAGCCGCGGUAAUACAUAGGUGGCAAGCGUUAUCCGGAUUUAUUGGGCGUAAAGAGUGCACAGGUGGUCAAGUAAGUCAGAUGUUAAAUUCUGGGGCUCAACCCCAGCCUGCAUUUGAAACUGCUAGACUAGAAUAUCGGUGGGAGUAGUGGAAUUCCAUGUGUAGCGGUGGAAUGCAUAAAUAUAUGGAGGAACACCAGUGGCGAAGGCGGCUACUUGAACGAUUAUUGACACUUAAGCACGAAAGCGUGGGGAGCAAAUAGGAUUAGAUACCCUAGUAGUCCACGCCGUAAACGAUCUUGACUAGCUGUUGGUUUAACCAGUGGCGCAGCUAACGCAUUAAGUCAAGCGCCUGGGGAGUACGUGCGCAAGCAUAAAACUCAAAGGAAUUGACGGGGACCCGCACAAGCGGUGGAGCAUGUGGAUUAAUUCGAAGAUACGCGAAGAACCUUACCUGCGUUUGACAUACUUGGCGAAGCUAUAGAGAUAUAGUGGAGGUUAACCGAUGUACAGGUGGUGCAUGGUUGUCGUCAGCUCGUGUCGUGAGAUGUUCGGUUAAGUCCGGCAACGAGCGCAACCCCUGUCUUAUGUUGCUAACAUUUAGUUGAGGACUCAUGAGAGACUGCCUGGGUAACCAGGAGGAAGGUGGGGAUGACGUCAAAUCAUCAUGCCCCUUAUAUGCAGGGCUUCACACGUGCUACAAUGGGGAUUACAAAGAGUCGCGAUACCGCGAGGUGGAGCUAAUCUCAAAAAAAUCCUCUCAGUCCGGAUUGGAGUCUGCAACUCGACUCCAUGAAGUUGGAAUCGCUAGUAAUCGUGAAUCAGCAAUGUCACGGUGAAUACGUUCUCGGGUCUUGUACACACCGCCCGUCAAACUACGGAAGUCGGCAAUGCCUAAAACCAGUGUCCUAACCUUUUGGAGGGAGCUGUCUAGGGUAGGGUUGAUGACUGGAGU
rnacentral:rRNA from 1 species